CAGGAAGUGACAUACCAGGCAGACUCGGAACAUAUGCCCCUGCUUAUAUACAAGCAGGAAAUUGCUCUCUUUCUUCUACUCUCUUCUCUGGAGCCACCAUGUGAGCGUGCUGCUGGCAUCCUGGAUCAGAUAAGUCUUUAUAAAAUAUAUAGAAUAAUAAUUAUGGUUGAUACUUAAGUCAGAGAUAGCAGAUAAGAAAUCCCAGUCAUUGGCCAGCAGCAUUGUACCUAAUUCACCCAGUUGAUAAGACAACAUGACAGCAGCCCAAAGAAGAUGAACCCAUACAUCUUUGAUCUUUUGAUAUGACGUCUACAGAAGUCAAAGGAUGCGCUGGUCUUUGAAAGUCGCAGACUGUCCAAUGUGUAAAAGACCAUGUUCCUUGGAGUCUAAGAAGGCUGGAUCAAACUGAAGGGAAGACUGGGGACCAAAAGAAGAUAAAACAUGGUCUCAGAACUUGAUCAUGUAGCAUACACAAGCUGCUACCACAAUUCAGAGGUUCAUUUGACAACCAGUUGUUAGAAGUCUUUUCUUCUCACAGAGUUGUUAUGUAGCAAUUAGAUGGCUUCCUGGUACCUAAUAAUUAGUCAACAGAUGUUUGGAUGCUGGAAGUUCAGGUUAAAUGUGAAGCAACAUGCUGAGAUCCCCACCUUGCAGACUCUCCCAGAGACUGCUCCCUGGUGUCUCCUCCAUGCGCCCACAUCUUCUCCAUGAGUCGUACUACUUGGGAUGGAAUGCAAUCCUUAGUCACUUGUACUUUUGAAGGCAGGGUUUAAGUGACUCCGACAGACCGAAGAUAAAUGAUUAACAGAGUGAAUAUCCUUUAAAUAGAAACCUUUUAGAUUGGAUUUAAGGCCUGCAGCACAGGCAGAAAUGUACACCCGGUCUCAGAAACCUGACCAAUCCCCCGUGACAAGAGACGGGGGAGAACCCACUACUGCGGUUUCCCUGAGGCGGCAUGACGUCACCUGUCUUCUAAUCUGAAUGCUUAUCUAUAUACCCAUAAGUCAGUGCAAUCCUCACGCCUCAUUGGAAAAGCCUAUUAUUGCAAUGGACAGUGGUUGACACAGAGACUCACAACCAAUCCGGGAGUGUAAAGGAUAGGUGACUGUAGAGUGGUCAGCUCUCAAAGAACAAGUACAUCACCCCUCCCCCAAGGCUCAGGGAACUGAGAAAGAGGGAGCAGGAAGAUUGUAAGAACCAGAGGCUGGGAAGGACUGGAGCAAAACGGUGUUUUCUGGACGUGGCUGGGCCAUUAUGUCCAUGAAGUUGUCAAAGCAGCGAUGGACUCCUCAACAAGCCAUGCAGAAGAGUAGGGCAGUUAGUAUCCCAGCAUGGAUGGAGAAGGGGAUUCCCAGGCCUCAUCCCAAAGUGAAAGGACUUGACAAUUGAUGGCAUCUGGAGGAUGGAGAUUGAGCUUUCUUCAAGGAUGUGUCCGGAAGGGUGCCGAUGUUUCAGUGGAUGGCCUACACUCGUGUAUACAUUGGCAGCGAUAGCUGGACACAACAGGUUACAAAAGAACCUGCAAAAAAAAAAAAAAAAAAAAAAAAAGAUGAGGAUAUGAAAUUGAGCAGGGAGUUGGGAAGGGGAAUCUGGGAGAAGCCAGAUGAAGGCAUGGGGUGGAGAUGAUCAAAAUACAUUAUACACGUGUGUGAACUUCUCAAAACAACAGGUAAAUAAGAUUAAAGUAACCCGCCAUGCAACUCCACCACUGGUCCAGGUAUGGGAGGUUCCCCGGAUAUUCAACAAUCAAAAAUGUUAAAACAACCAUUUCUUUAGGGCUUAUGUUAACCUGUUUUCAAGUUAUAGUAAAACCCUGGUGUGGAGAACUACAUAAAAGAGGAGAAAGCCUACGAGGAGAAGUUUUGUGUGACUGAGCAAUGGUUAAGCAGUAGACUGCAGCAAUCUUUACCUACUGGAGCAGUGAGGACUAUUCAUAAUCACGUGUUUAAUUCUUCCUACAGUCUUCUGCCUGUGGAUGACAUUACACCUGCGCCAUUGUGAAAGACCCCCGGAAGGCCCAGGCCCCCAGGAUCUCGGUCCAGGACUGUGGUCACCCCAAUCACCAGGCUGAGUCAGAAGCUUGAUGCAAACUGCAUGAGGCUUUAUUAUAGUUGUUUAACGAGCUAACGCUCGAGUCUUUCAUCCACCCGCCAUGGUGGAUGGCUAGAAAAGACUCUGCAAAGCCACAGCAUAGAGAUCUUAUAGGGCAGCAUAAGGGGAGUGUCUAGGGGUACGCACAGGCUCAGGAUUGGUGUGCCUCCAGGCUUGGAGGGUUUGCCCUGGGUUGAUUGGUCAACUGGUUGUUAUGGCCCAUAGGCCCUCCCAGGGCGGUUGCUAUGCUCUGCACGUCAUUGCUGUGCAAUUGUCCGUAAAGCACACCCAGAGCAGUAAAGCCAUAAAGCAUAGCACCACCAGCUAACUUCUGAUUGGUUCCUUGCCACGAGGCAGGCAUCUGACCUCCCUGAUCAGACACACACGUGUUCGGCUGUUAUGGCUGCUGAAAUGGGGAGCUUGUCCCUUCAAUUGCUACUGAAAUUGUCACAGCCCAAAGCCCUAGGAGCCAUAGUGAGCUAGACUGGGCCAUCAGUUAGUCUUCUGUAGGCCAAUAAAAGACAAAAAUCCUGGUGAGAAGCACCGAAAGGAGUUUCAUUCAAUGUUACCACACUAGGAGGAGGAGCAAAGCGUUCUAAGCCUCUCUCCUCCCCCACCCCCUUUGUGAUCCUGAGGGGAGGUUUAACUUUAAAUAGGAAGCAUGAGGAAUGUAUAGUUAAGCAAGGUCAAAAUGUGGUCCCAUCCAUCAUCAUUGCCUGAGCCCCAUUUUUUCUUGCAAGAUGGUCUGAGAAACUGUAAGAAAUGCAUGGAAUCUUCUCUUGAAAGACUGAUAUCCCCUCAAGCUGGCAGCAGCCUUCAGACUUUUCCUUCUCCCAGCAUGAGAUUUCCAGGUAAAUUCCAAGUCCUUUGGAACCAUUGUUUUAAUAUACUCACAACCACAGUGGGGGGGGGCACAAGUUUCUUCUGUAAAAUAUCUUCAUUCUUAUCAAGAUUCUUAUACCAUGAUACUCAAAUGAAAGAAAUCCAGCCAUAGCCCAAGAGAAAAGAGGAGGGAAAGAAGUCCAUGAUUUUUCUCAAUCCCUGAAAGGCUUAAGAACACUCCACUGCCAAACAUUUUCUCCUCCACACACCCCAGAGCAGUGUUUCUGAACCUUCUGAAUGCUGUGACCCUUUAAUACAGUUCUUCAUGCUGUGUGACCUCCAACCACACAAUUGUUUUUUUGUUCCUCCCUCUCUUUGCCUGGAUUCCCAGGGCUCAGCCUUGUUCAUGAUUGUGGAUUUCUACACCUGUCUCCAUCAAUUACUAGCUGAAGGCUCUAUGAAGAUAGUAGGGGUGUUCAUCAAUCUGAUUACAGAGGCAGGCCAGUUCAGGCAUCCUCUCCACUAUUGGUAGUCUUAGCUGGGGUCCUCCUUGUGGAUUCCAUAUAUGAGCAAGUCAGGUCAAGACCAUGAUUGAGAGAUCUACAGAGACAGCCAAACCAAGCUGGUGGACACUCAUGGACACUAGACCUACAGCCGUGGAGACUCCAGGGGAUUGAACUAAGCCCUCCACAUGUGGGAGACAGGUGUGAAGCUUGGAGUAGCUGAGGGGUCCCUGGCAGUAGGACCACAAUAUAAUCCCAGUACAUGAGCUAGCUUGUUGGAGCCCACUCCCUAUGGUGGGACGCUAUGCUCAGUCUUAAUGCAUGGGAGAGGAACUGGGCUCUGCCCCAACCAUUGUGUCAGACUGUGUUGACUCCUCACGGGAACCCUUACCUGUAAGGAGGAGUGGACUGGGGGUAGGCUGGGGGUGUUGGUGAGGGGUGGUGGGAGGAGGCACGGGGGGCCGGGAGGAGGAGGUGUUAGAGGGAGAACUGUGGUUUGAAUGUAAAAUGAAAUUUAAAAAUUAGAAAAAAUUAUUUCUUUACUAUUUAAUAAGUAAUUUUGCUACUAUUAUGUAAUACAAUGUAAAUAUCCGAUAUGGAGGAUAUGGUCACAACUCACAGGUUGAGAACUACGGCACCCUGAACAUAAUUAAAAUCUUUCCAACUCAGCUUGAGUGCCCUGCUUCCCCUUGAUCUCAUGUACAGCUUGUUGCAAACACCUAGACAGAGUCUUCCAUGCUCUGAACCUUCUCAGCUCACAAUGGCUAGGACUAUGGGGCUGCGAUGGGUUGUGUUGACUAGUUGUAACCAUCAAGUUGGUACAGACUAGAAUCACUCGGGAAAGGAGUGUUAAUGAGGAAUUAUCUAGAUCAGGUUGACAGUGCCAUGCCUGUGGGGCACUAUCUUGAUGGUUAAUGGACCAGCUCAUUGUCAGUAUUCUGUAGGCUGGGCACCCUGAACAGCGUAAGAAAGGAGAAAGCUAGUUUAGAGUACAGAGCAUGUGGUUGUCUAGUUCUCUCUGCCCUGACUGAGCGAGCGUGUGCAGUUUUUGCCUUGGUGAUGGACUGUAACCCAUUGUAAGGCAAAUACAGCCUUUCUCUCCAAAGAUAUUUUUUGUUAGGUAUGUUGUCACAGAAACAGAUAUGAAGCCACAACAUGGGUGAAGUAUGAUGUUGAAAUAGAGUCUAGUUCACUAAUCCCACUGACCUCCCUGGAAGGCUGAGUUAAGAGGCGAGGGUGGUCUUGGGAAAAGUGUAUUUUCUCUUCCUCUAGGACAGCCGUCUUUAAUCCACUCAUCAUUCCUACAUCAAAUUGCCAGGAGACAAGUAUAUUUUAGUAGUAAAACUCAAGCUAACAAAUUAUGUUCUGCCUUCCUUGAAAAAUGUAUCUUCAUAAUUUAAAGGUAUAUUGAAAAAUAUGCUCAAUUCUUUCUAUUCUAAAAUGCUGGGAGUCAAUGUAACACUAAACAAAACAGUGUACAGUUAGUAAGUAGUGAAGGCCAGAAUGUGUUCUAAAAGAAAGAUGUGGCUAAUAAAUUGAUAAAUGUUUCUCCUACAAAAAUAUUGUUUUUUGGAGCUGGGAAGAUGGGUCUGUGAGAAAAGAGCACAUGCUCUUGCAAGUGUGAGGGCCUGAGUUUGAAUCCCAGCAGCCACAGACAAAGCUGAGCAUGGUUCCACAUACCUCUAACCCCAGAAUGAGGCUACAUGCUGAAGAUGAUCUGAGAGCUAGUUAAGAAAUGACAAGCUUGUAGUUCAGUAAAAGAUUCUGUCUCAAGACAACAAAGCUACAGAGGGCUACAGGAAGCACCAGGUGUCCUGCUCUGGCUACACUCGUGAGUGUAGACAGAGGAGUAGAUAGACCAGUACAUUCAUAUGCACCCCCCCCCCACAGACACACACUUUGCAGGACAUAUUGUCAUCUUUAUUUCAUUAUAUCCCCAAUGUUACAAAUUUCCACAUAAUUUGGUGUUCUACUGACAGAAAAGCCAAACUAAGAGAACUUUUCUUGAAUUAUUGUGAUUCCUAGUAUCUUUAAUUAAUUCUAAUUCAGAAAAAUGUGUCUCUUUUGAGGCAUCAGCAAUUGAGACUGUCAAGGAAUACUUUGAGCAAUAUUUAGAUCCAGAAAUUCAUCAUUAUUUUAUGUCAUGUUGAAAUAUUUUAAUGUGAUCACAUGCAAUAAAUUAUCACAGAAGAUGUCAUCCAAUAUCUCAAUUUUACCACAGAAGGCACAAGAACAUUGCCAUUGUGUCAUUUCUAUGUGAGUUAUUCUAUCAUACAACAUUUUUGGUUUCAUUUCAUUUCUUUUAUCGAAAAUACAUUAUUUUGUCACAUAAUAUAUCCUGAUUAUGAUUUCCCCUCCCUCUACUCCUCCCAGUUUUUCUCUAUCUCCCCUUCCAUCUACGUCCACUCCCUUUCUAUCUCUCCUUAGGAAUAAAACCAGGCUUCUAAGAGGUGAUAAUAAAACAUAACAAAAUAAAAUAUAAUGAGAUAAAACAAAGCUAGCACACUGACAUUAGACAAGAAAAACCAAACGGAAGGAAAAGAGCCCAAGAGAAGGCAUAAGAAUCAUAAGAAUCAGGAACUCAAUUAAAAACACUAACCUGGAAGCUGUAGUAUAUCUGCAGAGGACCAGGCGCAGACUCUUGCAGGUCCUGUGCUAGCUCCUUCAGUCUCUGUGGGUGCAUGCGAGCUUUGCUCAUGUUGAUUUAGAGGGCCUUGUUUUCUUGGUGUCCUCCAGUCCCUCUGGCCCUUAAAUUCUUUCAGAUUCCUCUUCUAUGAGAUUUCCUUAGCUCUGAGGGGAGGAAUUUGAUGGAGACAUCCCAUUUAGGGCUGAGUGUUCCAAGGUCUCUCUCUUACUCUCUGAGUAAUGUGUGGCUGUGGGUCUCUCUCCGUCUUUGUUCUCAUCUUUGAUAAUGGCUGAACAAGGCACUAAUAUAUGAGUGCAGCAGAAUGUCAUUAGAAGUCACUUUAUUACUACAUUUUCCCUUCUUUUUUUAGACUGCAUCAUUUAGUUUUACCCUAGGUUGUUGGGAUAUCUAGUCUCUGGUUCUUUUUUCACCCAUUUGUGUCAGAUAUGGGUUCCAUCUCAUGGAGUAGGCCUUCAAUCAAAUCACAUAUUGGUUGGUUACUCCCAACAACUUUCCUCAGUGCCCUAGCACUGUGUUGGACACAAUUGUAGGUAAAAGGACUUGGGGAUGGCUUGGUGUUUGUUUUUCUUUUGGUAGCAUGCAGAGCACUUUCUUGUACCAGAGAUGCUAGAAUGCUGAGGUG
ensembl:lncRNA